rnacentral:RNase_P_RNA from 1 species
ACUGCAGGCUACUCCAUCGCCUGGCCCCAAUCCCCUGAAGGGGGAGAAGGGGUUCGGGAGGAAAGUCCGGACAACGCAGAGCGCCACACCACCUAACGGGUGGGGUUCCGGUGUAAUACCGGGAUACAGAGCGUGUCACAGAAAAUUACCGCCUUCGGGUAAGGGUGAAAACGUGCGGUAAGAGCGCACGGCGUCCCCGGGUAACCGGGGAGGCGGAUAAACCUUGUGGGUUGAAAUGCCACGUACAUCCCGAUUCCGGCGGCGGGCCAUCCGUGGCCCAAAGCCGGAGCAAUGUUGCUCGCACUGUUGGCGGCCCCUGGGCGGCCAGUCGGGAGGGGUAGGCAGCUAGAGUUUGGCCGUGAGGCCAUCCCCAGAUAAAUGAUGGAGAUCCCGACUUGUCGGGAUUACAGAAUCCGGCUUAUUGGCUUGCAGUGUUU